AUUGAACGCUGGCGGCAGGCCUAACACAUGCAAGUCGAACGAGCGGCGGACGGGUGAGUAAUGUCUGGGGAUCUGCCCGAUGGAGGGGGAUAACUACUGGAAACGGUAGCUAAUACCGCAUACUAUCGGAUGAACCCAUAUUGGAUUAGCUAGUAGGUGGGGUAAAGGCUCACCUAGGCGACGAUCCCUAGCUGGUCUGAGAGGAUGAUCAGCCACACUGGGACUGAGACACGGUCCAGACUCCUACGGGAGGCAGCAGUGGGGAAUAUUGCACAAUGGGCGCAAGCCUGAUGCAGCCAUGCCGCGUGUAUGAAGAAGGCCUUAGGGUUGUAAAGUACUUUCAGCGGGGAGGCGUUACCCGCAGAAGAAGCACCGGCUAACUCCGUGCCAGCAGCCGCGGUAAUAC
rnacentral:rRNA from 1 species